UACGUAGUGGGCUAGCGUUGUCCGGAAUCAUUGGGCGUAAAGAGCGCGUAGGCGGCCCGGUAAGUCCGCUGUGAAAGUCGGGGGCUCAACCCUCGAAUGCCGGUGGAUACUGUCGGGCUAGAGUGCGGAAGAGGCGAGUGGAAUUCCUGGUGUAGCGGUGAAAUGCGCAGAUAUCAGGAGGAACACCAAUUGCGAAGGCAGCUCGCUGGGACGUAACUGACGCUGAGACGCGAAAGCGUGGGGAGCAAACAGG
rnacentral:rRNA from 1 species